rnacentral:rRNA from 1 species
GUCUAUGGCCAUACCACCCUGAACACCCCCGAUCUUGUCUGAAAGCUAAGCAGGGUCAGAAUGGAACUGGUUAGCACUUGGAUGGGAUAAAUUGGACUCUUCCCCUUCAUAUAUCCAUAGAGA